rnacentral:ncRNA from 2 species
GAGCGGGGUAGAGGCGCGGCGUAGCAAGAGUACUGUACCGGAGUUGGGAAGCGAGGAGGGUACGGGAAAGGGCUAGCCGCCGAAGUAGGUAGGCUACCCAGGCUUACCUGCUGGGCUGGUGCUGAAUAAGCACUAGACUGUCACUAUCCCGGGGAUAGUGGAGCGCUCCUCGCACG